rnacentral:tRNA from 1 species
UGAGGUAUAGCUCAGUUGGUAGAGUGCUUGUCUCACAAGCACAAAUCCCUAGGUUCAGUCCCCAGCACCACAA